rnacentral:rRNA from 1 species
CACGUAGGGUGCGAGCGUUGUCCGGAAUUAUUGGGCGUAAAGAGCUCGUAGGCGGUGUGUCGCGUCGGCCGUGAAAACCUGCAGCUUAACUGUGGGCUUGCGGUCGAUACGGGCAUCACUGGAGUUCGGCAGGGGAGACUGGAAUUCCUGGUGUAGCGGUGAAAUGCGCAGAUAUCAGGAGGAACACCGGUGGCGAAGGCGGUUCUCUGGGCAUUACCUGACGCUGAGGAGCGAAAGCAUGGGGAGCGAACAGG